rnacentral:rRNA from 1 species
CGGCCUACCAAAGCUACGAUAGGUAGCCGACCUGAGAGGGUGACCGGCCACAUUGGGACUGAGAUACGGCCCAGACUCCUACGGGAGGCAGCAGCUGAGAAUCUUCCACAAUGGACGAAAGUCUGAUGGAGCGACAUCGCGUGAGGGAUGAAGGCCUUCGGGUUGUAAACCUCGGAAAUUAUCGAAGAAUGAGUGACAGUAGAUAAUGUAAGCCUCGGCUAACUACGUGCCAGCAGCCGCGGUAAUACGUAGGAGGCAAACGUUGCUCGGAUUUACUGGGCGUAAAGGGUGAGUAGGCGGACUUAUAAGUCUAAGGU